AGAAUGACUCUCGGCAACGGAUAUCUAGGCUCUUGCAUCGAUGAAGAACGUAGCGAAAUGCGAUACUUGGUGUGAAUUGCAGAAUCCCGUGAACCAUCGAGUCUUUGAACGCAAGUUGCGCCCGAAGCCAUCAGGUUGAGGGCACGUCUGCCUGGGCGUCACAA
rnacentral:rRNA from 1 species